rnacentral:lncRNA from 1 species
CAAAAGAUGCUAUUUCUAAUUCUCGAAUAACAUAUUUAGGAAAUUUCUACUCCAGAAUAAGCUAAGGCAUCUAAAUUGACUUCUAGAUGGUACAGAAGACAUAAUCAAUUCGAAGAUAGGAAUUCCACCUAGAAAAUAAGAGAUUUAAUCAACUCUAACUAAAUUACUAUUUCAAGAUUUGUAAAAUAACCCAAAAAAGGUUAAUCUGACUAACCAUGCUUCCAAUACUUAAACCACAU